CUGAAGGCAGCCCUCUUGGCCUGCUCCCAUCAAGCCUUCUGGAACCCUCUCUGAAAGGGAGAUGACUGCAUCUCAGAUGGACAUCCACAGACCUCUCCCAGGGCCAGAGCAGAUUUCUAGUCAGCUCUUGCACAUGCAAAACUGAGCUUCCUGCUAGCAGCUCAAAGACAAUACAGGCUUCUCAGGACAAGGGAAAGGUCGCACCAGAUGUGCUCUGGGACCUAUCCAGGUCUAACCCUCACUGUUUCUGACCCCAAACUGACAUCAUCGUCCCUUCCCAAAACUGCCCCUUCCUUUUAAGUCCUUCAUUUCUAUUCAUGGUACCACUGUUCCUCCUGUGACUUGGUCUCAGAAUUCCAGAAUGUCUUUUUCCGCUUCUCAUCUCCCACCGCCCACCCUUGAAAAAAAAUUGUUGUGUUCAG
rnacentral:lncRNA from 1 species